rnacentral:rRNA from 1 species
GACGAACGCUGGCGGCGUGCCUAACACAUGCAAGUCGUACGGGACCGGGGGCAACUCCGGUUCAGUGGCAGACGGGUGCGUAACACGUGAGGAACUUGUCCGGUGGCGGGGGAUAGCCGGCCCAACGGCCGGGUAAUACCGCAUACGCUCGUUCGGGGGCAUCCCUGGGCGAGGAAAGCAGCCGCAAGGUUGCGCCGACGGAGGGCCUCGCGACCUAUCAGCUUGUUGGCGGGGUAACGGCCCACCAAGGCACGACGGGUAGCUGGUCUGAGAGGAUGAUCAGCCACAUUGGGACUGAGACACGGCCCAGACUCCUACGGGAGGCAGCAGUGGGGAAUAUUGCGCAAUGGCCGCAAGGCUGACGCAGCGACGCCGCGUGUGGGAUGACGGUCUUCGGAUUGUAAACCACUGUCAGGGGAACGAAUACAGGGCUUCGAUAAGGGAUCCUGGGUGACGGUACCUCCAAAGGAAGCACCGGCUAACUCCGUGCCAG